UCCUUUUUUUUUUUUAAAUUAUAUUACUGUAUUAGUUUAGCUUAUGUAGACAACAAAUUGCAGGAUGAUGUUCAAGCGGGGAUCAAGGAAAUACAAAGAGCUCGCAUUAAGGUACGCUUUGUUACGCAUGACAAUCCUCAAACUGCAAAAGCAAUUGCUAUGGAAUGUGGCAUACUUGCUUCUGAUAGGUCAGAUGCUAGUGAGGUAAUUUUUGAAGGAGAAGCGUUCCGACAACUUUCUGAUAGUCAGAGAGAAGAUUUAGCAGAGAAGAUUUUGGUAAUGCGACUGUCUACCCCCGAUGACAAACUUUUGCUUGUGCAAGCACUGCGGAAAAGAGAAAAGGUUGUUGCUGUCACUGGAUCUGUCAUUAGUGAUGCUGGUGCACUACAAGAGGCCGACAUUGGUCUUGCAAUAGGUGAACAAGCGACUGAAGUUGUUAAAGAGAGUUCAGAUAUCAUAAUCUUGGAUGGCAAUUUCGCUACUGUAGCCAAGGGUUUCAAAUGGGGACGAUCUAUGCAUGAAAAGGUUCUGAGAGUUAUGCAACAGCAACUUACAGCCAAUAUUGUAGCAGUAACUAUAAACUGCUUGGCGGCAGUUUACUAUGGUCACAUUCCUCUCAAUGCUGUGCAGUUUGUGUGGGUGAAUGUUAUCAUAUUUGGUCUUGGACCACUAGUAUUGGCUACUGAAUAUCCGGCUGAACGCCUGAUGGACGAACCCCCUAUUGACCGAGGACAACCUCUUAUAAAAUAUAUUCGGUGGAAGAGACUGUUGAUACAGGUUCUGUACCAAAUUAUUGCCCUGCUUGUCAUCAAUUUUCAAGGAGGGAGUUUACUGAAAAAUUAUACCAGAGACCACGCCACCAAAGUGAAAAAUACAAUGAUAUUCAACACAUUUGUUAUAUGUCAGAUUUCCAUUGAAUUUGGAGUUCGAAAGACUGGUAUACUGGACCAUCCUUUGAAAUGGAUUACUGCUAACUCCGUGUUUCUGGGAAUAGUGGGAAUAAUUCUUGUGAUUCAGUUUAUCAUCAUUGAGUUUCUUGGGAAGGCGUUUUUCAUAGUCAGGCUUGACUGGAAAGAGUGGCAGUUUUCCCUCACCCUUGGUAUUGUCGAGUUGUUUUUUGCACUGCUUCUAUUCGUAAAGCACUUGACACAAAGGAAUCAUCAUUAAGAUUCGAUAUCGGUGAUGUACUGAUGUUCAACCUGAUGAUGUUCAUGAAAAUCUUGUGCAAUCUGAUGUGUUCAACCUGCCAGACGUUCAUUGCUGAACUCGUUUACCCUCGCACCUUCUCUUCAUCUUCCUCAUUUUAUGACUUGGUUCCUUGGGUGUAUUUUCGUUAUUGAUACAGACUACAUGUUGAAUAACCAUUCAUUAUCAAUUGGACUUGAAUAGCA